UCUGGCCCUUUGAAAUCCUGUGCUGCUUUCCCUCGACAAAGAAGCACUAACAAAGAACAAGAGAAAAAUAUAAAAAUUUUAAAUGGUACCUGCUAUCCAUGCCCAACUGAAGUCAACUUCACCUGCAUAGCAUUUUUAUAUAUUUUACAGAGCAUGGUAUUGUUUGUUUAUUUUAACGUCAUGUUUUACACUUUGGUUACAUUCAUGACAGGAACGGUAGUUACUCAUUACACAAGAUUCAUCAGUUCACACAAGGUUAUAUCAAACACAGUCAUGGACAAUUUAGUAUCUCCAAUCUACCUCACUUGCAUGUCUUUGGACUGUGGGAGGAAACCGGAGUGCCCGGAGUAAACCCACGCAAACACAGGAAGAACCCAGACCACCCCACCUGGGGAUCGAACCAAGGACCUUCUUGCUGUGAGGCAACAGUACUACUCACUUAGCCACCGUGCCACCCUACAGAGCAUGGUAGGAUGUUAGUUACUUGUUUGUAUAACGUAUGCAGUGCACCAACCUGGAGACACCUGCAUUUGUUAUGUUAUUUAAGACAAUGCAUUGAGCAGGUUAACAAAAUGAGCAGAAGAGUAUGGGUGGUUAUUGUGAUGUGACGUGAAACACCUGCAGUGUACUAGACUUUUUUUUUUAAUGUAACAUACAAGU